rnacentral:rRNA from 1 species
UCCGUAGGCGGGCAAUUAAGUCAGAGGUGAAAUCCCACAGCUCAACUGUGGAACUGCCUUUGAUACUGGUUGUCUUGAGUUAUAGUGAAGUAGAUAGAAUAUGUAGUGUAGCGGUGAAAUGCAUAGAUAUUACAUAGAAUACCGAUUGCGAAGGCAGUCUACUAACUGUAUACUGACGCUAAUGGACGAAAGCGUGGGGAGCGAACAGGAUUAGAUACCCUGGUAGUCC